UACAGAAUAAGAACUACAUGGAGUUACUAAAUCAAAAUCGGUGCACAAAUGAUAAUUCUUAAGAGUGAGUGCUACAGAGAACACAAAAGGCAAGGCACAGAGAGAUGACCUGGGAGGCAGGGAAGGAAAGCACUCCCAGAGGCUGGAGUGAAGUGGCACAGUCUCAGCUUUCUGCAGCCUCUGCCUCCCAGGUUCAAGCAAUUCUUCUGCCUCAGCCUCCCAAGUAGCUGGGAUUACAGGAAUGUGUCCCACAGGUGACCCUACCCUGGUGGCACAGGACGUCUCACGCAGCACUGUCUGGGACAGCAAAAGGGAUGGAAACCACCUGAGUCCAACCAUGGAGGACACUGGAAAACACGAUGCUGCCGCCAUAGGAUGGGAUAUUGGCAAGUGUGAAGAAACAACAUUUGGGUAGAUAUUGACAUGGCAAUGACAUAUGGUAGAAUGAAAAAAGUUAGUGGUUGUGAUAUUGUGAAUAUAAUAAGUAUGCAUAUUUGGGUUUCACUUCCAGUUCCUGGCACAGAGCUCCUGAAACACUUGUAAUUUUUUGAGUGGUGGUGGGAGAGGAGCAUCUUUUGUUACUCAUAAUGAGCCCCUUUCAACCAUAAAUGUAUGCUAAUGAGGUGACUCUUGGCGCAUGAGGGUGGUAGCCAGGGGAAGGGGAACCCAGGAAAUGAUUAGAGGGUUCAAACCCUGGGGAGGGGAGAUGGGGUGGACAUUGAGUUAAUUACCAGUGGUCAAGAAUUAAUCAAUUAUACCUGCAUAAUGAAGCCGCCAUAACACUCCUAAAUGAGGCCGGAUAUAGUGGCUCACGCCUGUAAUCCCAGCACUUUAGGAGGCUGAGGGAGGUGGAUCACCUGAGGUCAGGAGUUCAAGACCAGCCUGGCUAACACGGUGAAACCCCGUCUCUACUAAAAAUACAAAAAUUAGCCGGGUGUGGUGGUGCAUGCCUGUAGCCCCAGCUGCUCAGGAGGCUGAGGCAGGAGAAUCGCUUGACCUGGGCGGGAGGCAGAGGUUGCAGUGAGCCAAGAUGGCACCACUGCACUCCAGCCUGGGUGACAGAGCAAAACUCCAUCUGAAAAACAAACAAACAAACAAAAAACAACUAAAUGACAGGGUUCAGAGAAGAACACAUGGAGGUGCUGGGAGGGUGGCGUGAUCAGAGAGCACUUGGAGGCUCCGCAUCCUGCCUUCCACACCUUGCCCUAUGCAUCUCUUCCAUCUGGCUGUUCCUGAACUUGUAUCCUUUAUGAUAAACCGGCAAUAGUAAGUAAGGCUGGGUGCAGUGGCACAUGCCUGUACUCCCAGCUACUCGGGAGGCCGAGGCUGGAGGAUUGCUUGAGCCCAGGAGUUCAAGGCUGCAGCGAGCACCACUGCACUCCAGAGACACUGUCUCAAAAAAAAAAAAAAAGUAAGUAAACUGUUUUCCUGAGUCCUGUGAGCUGUGCUAGCAAAUUACUGAACCUGAGGAGGGGGUCAUGGGAACCCCCAAUUCAUACAUCAGAAGUAUGGGGGGCCCAGGACUUGCUCCUGGAGUUUGAAGUAGGGGCAGUCUUAUGAGACUGGGCCCUUAAUGUGUGGGAGCUGAUGCCAACUCCAGGUUGAUAGUAUCAGAAUGGAUUCAAUUGUAGGACACCCAGAUGGUGUUGGAGAGUUGGUCGAUGUGGAAAAAAAAAAAACCCACACAUUUGGUGUCAGAAGUGUUGUGAGUAAGAAAAAAAAAGAGCAUAGUAGUUGUGGAACAGUGUGUAUGGCUGAAUCCUAUUUUUGUAAAAAUAAAAUUAUGUGUGUAUUUCUUCACAUAUGAUUAUACAUGCAGGGAAAAAAAUCUACUAUACGCAGCCAGUGGCUAAAGGAAUUACCUCUGUGGACUGGGAACAGGGAGGCGGUGUGCUGUGAUAGUUUGCUGGGGCUGUCAUAACAGAAUGCCACAGAUGGGGUGGCUUAAACAGCAGAAAUGUAUUUUCUUAGAGUUCUGGAGGCUGCAAGCCCAGGUUCAAGGCAUCAGCGGGUGUGGUUUCCUCCAAGGCCUCUCCCCAUGGCUUGCAGACGGCUGCCUUCUCCCUGCAUCCUCACGUGGUCCCUCCUCUGCACUCCAGCAUCCUUAAUGUCUCUUUGUGUGUCCAACUUUCUGCCCCCCACUUUUAUUUUUUUGAUGGAGUCCACCCAGGCUGGAGUGCAGUGGCAGGAUCUCAGCUCACUGCAACCUCCACCUCCUGGG